AUUUACUUCGGGUAAAUGACGUUAGGAAAGCGAGCGGCGGAUGGGUGAGUAACGACGUGGGGAAACCUGCCCCCGAUAGUCUGGGAUACCGACUUGGAAACAGGUAGCUAAUACCGGAUAAGAAAGCAGAUCGCAUGAUCAGCUUUUAAAAAGGCGGCGUAAGCUGUCGCUAUGGGACUGGCCCCGCGGUGCAUUAGCUAGUUGGUAAGGUAAAGGCUUACCAAGGCGAUGAUGCAUAGCCGAGUUGAGAGACUGAUCGGCCACAUUGGGACUGAGACACGGCCCAAACUCCUACGGGAGGCAGCAGUAGGGAAUCUUCCACAAUGGACGCAAGUCUGAUGGAGCAACGCCGCGUGAGUGAAGAAGGUUUUCGGAUCGUAAAGCUCUGUUGUUGGUGAAGAAGGAUAGAGGUAGUAACUGGCCUUUAUUUGACGGUAAUCAACCAGAAAGUCACGGCUAACUACGUGCCAGCAGCCGCGGUAAAU
rnacentral:rRNA from 1 species